GGGCACGACACCGGAGAGGGAGCCUGAGAAACGGCUACCACAUCCAAGGAUGGCAGCAGGCGCGCAAAUUACCCAAUCCCGACACGGGGAGGUAGUGACAAUAAAUAACAAUACGGGGUUCUUUAGGAUCUCGUAAUUGGAAUGAGUACAAUUUAAAUCUCUUAACGAGGAACAAUUGGAGGGCAAGUCUGGUGCCAGCAGCCGCGGUAAUUCCAGCUCCAAUAGCGUAUAUUAAAGUUGUUGCAGUUAAAAAGCUCGUAGUUGAAUUUCGGGGUUAGUAGGUUGGUCAUGCCUCUGGUAUGUACUGGUCUCACUGAUUCCUCCUUCCUUAUGAACCGUAAUGCCAUUAAUUUGGUGUUGCGGGGAAUUUGGACUGUUACUUUGAAAAAAUUAGAGUGUUUAAAGCAAGCUAACGCUUGAAUACAUUAGCAUGGAAUAAUGAAAUAGGACGUUCGAUCUUAUUUUGUUGGUUUCUAGGAUUGACGUAAUGAUUAAUAGGGAUAGUUGGGGGCAUUAGUAUUCAAUUGUCAGAGGUGAAAUUCUUGGAUUUAUUGAAGACUAACUACUGCGAAAGCAUUUGCCAAGGAUGUUUUCAUUAAUCAAGAACGAAAGUUAGGGGAUCGAAGACGAUCAGAUACCGUCGUAGUCUUAACCAUAAACUAUGCCGACUAGGGAUCGGAUGAUGUU
rnacentral:rRNA from 1 species